rnacentral:lncRNA from 1 species
CUUAAAAAUACCCUGACAUGCAUAUAAAGACUGCGUUCCAAAGGUUAAUGCUCCUUAAUCCUGAAGGGAGUGGACAGAUCCUGCAUGACCCACGGUGCCUUCUCACUUCCUGCUGGAGUUAUUGCAAAAGGAAUCCAGGAGACAAUGGGGCUGCUGAACACUUUCCGGAAUCGGGGCAUGCCUGCUAUGGUAUCAGGGGCCCUUUUGCUCGGGGGCCUUUCCUGGGUUCCCCUCCAGGGUCACCAGCAUGGGUCACACUUCCUUCCCCCAAGCUGGCUUGUUCCAUCAGGCCUUUCAGGGAAACCAGCGGCUGCCGGUGGUUGAGACUUCUGCUCAUAUGUAGCCCUGGCGGAAAGAAAGCACUCUAGAAAGGGAUUAUAUAAUGGAUUGUAAUGACACUGCUUAUGGUGGUUGUUAUUUUGAAAUGUGUCCUGGAGUAAUAAUAUAUUUCAGCACUCAGUAUAGAUUUCACAUUCUCAAGCAAAAUCAAGUGUAGUAAGGAGGGAGCUCUCUGCCCCUAAAAGCUCUUGUUCUGAUGUCAUGCCUACAAUCCUAUCUCUUCCUAUAGGUUAUUUAAAUGUCUCCUGAGGUAACCAGUUGCAUGUAGCCAAACCCCUUUUUUAAUUGAGUUUUCUUUUUUAAGAUGAGUCAUAUAUCCCCCCAAAAAAGCACCAAUUCAGAAUAAAGGCAGGAACAUUCUAGACAUUUUCGAGACACCAGUCUAAGGGCAGAAAGGAAAUUUCAUAACUAUCAUUAUGUAUUAUGGUACAUCCAGUCCCAGGCCCACAUCUCUUAGAUAACCCCCCUCAUCCUAUACCCCGUCCCCCCACUAUCCCUACCUCCCUGAUGUUAUCUGUUCACGGUUUUGUGCUGCUGGCUCUCAUUCUGGAUUUGUAUGGGUAACCUCUCCUCUGGGCACUGGUAACCCACCCACCUCUAAGGGUCAGUUGAAUAAUGCACUAAGGUGAGUGGUCAUGGUUCUCAACAGAGGUGACUUUGCACUUGAGGGGAUAUUUGACAAUGCAGUUUUGGUCAUCACGCUUGGUGGGAGGAUGCUACUGGCCAGUGGGACAGAGGCCGGGGUGCUGCUCUACACCCUACAAUGCAUGGCAAAGGUCCCCCACACAAUGUCAAUAGUGCCUAGGCGGAGAAACCCUGCCUUAACCUGUGAUUGAUUUAUAGUUUUCCUCUUAAAUUCCACUUUUUCCGUGAAGCUUCCUCUGAAUGACCCUGUUUUCUCCCUUCUUUGAACUCCACUCUACAUUUGGCACUAAGCCAUGCACUGCAUCGCAUUGUUCUUUAGAAUUUGUGUGUGGACAGCUCAUCUCCCUAAUUGGAUGUGAGGUUUCCUGACAGCAGGGCUCAUCUCCCCUUCCUUUGUGUGUUUAACUGUACUCGACCCAGUGCUCUGCACUUAGCGUUUCCUCAAUACAUUCCAGAUAAAUGAACAUAUCUUCAGUGGACGACUGAAUUCUGAAGUUUGAAGUUGAUAUAUUGGGAUGAUGGCAAGGAUUCUCCAAGAAACUUAGAAAUAGGGUAAAACAACAAUAAUAAAAAGUUACUCUUAGAGAUCUAGAGAAAUUAAAUAAGCAUAUAAUGGAAGUGAACAGCAUUCUCUCUGGUGCCCACAGAAAUAGCCAUUUGAUAAUUGGUUCAUAAUAAUCUUAACAUGCAGCACAGAAAAAAAGAAUAAUAGAAUUAAUGAUUUAUGUUAAAUCUUAGUUGGAGGAUUGAAAUGACUGAAUUUGGGAGACACAGAUAUCUGUCUAGUGUUUCCUGUGAGACGAUGGGAGUUUCAUUAAACCUUAUCUUUGCUUAGAUGACAUGAUCCUCAAGACAUUCUCCACCCAUUUGCUUCAGCUCCACGCCAACCAAGCAACAUUCAGAUUAAUAACCCAGCCUCCUAGCUGCUCAGGACAUGGAAAGGGGUGUCUUAGAUGGAAGGGGCAAGCAUUCAGGACACUGGACAUAAAUAUCACCCAUAAUAAAUUAGUAAAUUGACCUUUGGUUUACACAUUAAUCUGUGAAGUGAGUGUGUGAGUCUCUCCCCAAGAUCCUGACUCCAUCUGGGAUUAUUGAUAAGGGCCAGUUUUUGACUGAAUAGACAAGGGGCCAGACUCUGGUCUGUGACUCAUUCACCAAAGCAGUGCCAUGUUGGAAACUGUUUGACCAGUAGCUAUCUUGCUUUCCCCCUGUGACAUCCCUAUUUUGCCUCAAGCCUUUCUUUCCAGCUCCAACAUAUCUUAACAUGGUACAAUUUUAAGUCCCGUUCCCGAUUCUGGAAUUACCACUUUCCCCCCCCCACACCUCCAAAGUCCCUUAAAAAUUCCAUUUAUACUUUAUUUAGAAAUAUUCUGAUUGAAAAAAAUAAAAUAAAAAAAUAAAAAAAACCCACAUGCGGCUUCUUUUUAAUAAAGGAAACUAAGUGGGAAGGUCAAAUUGCUCUUAGAACUUUUUAUAGGCCUGGCAGCCCUGGAAACAUUUCAUCAUUAAAGAACGUGUGACAAGUCACUGGGACCAUUUACUGAGGGUUUCUCAGGGACAGACCAAGAAUAGCAAAAAGGAUCUUUUCUAAAAGACUCCAUGAUUUGACUCGGUUUUCCUGAGAACAGCUAGGACUAAUUAGAAAUAACUUGCAGCUUGUAUUCGUUACAUUUGAGUAUUUGUUAACAAGCUCUUGUGUGCAAAACAAAGAUUGAUUUCAACUUGAUUCAUCCCUCCAGUCCUCUUUCCAUGCUUGCCUCCAUCUUUUCACCAAAAUGCAAGCAUUUCUUGUUUAAUGACAUUAAUUAACAGAGGAAGUUGGGCUGAAAAUAUCUUGAAUGCUCCACCUAAUUAUAAUCCCAGUCAUGAAUGCUGGAGAAAAUGUGGCGUCUUAAUAAAAAGAAAACAGUCUAGAACAAUAUUAUGCAGUUUAUAAAUUCCACUGAACCACUGUACAAAUAAACAAUGCUACUGAAUCACACAACAAAUCAUCUCACAAUUAGGCCACACAAGACCAGCUGCUCUACAAAGGAGCCCGUGAGCCAAAGAGGAAAACUUUGAAGAUAAAUAUUGCCAUAUGUGAAGAGAAAAAGAAAAAAAUCCCAACAAACCUUAAUUGCACGGAGCAUCGUUUUCCAAUGCUAUUUGCCGUGGGAAUAAAGGAUUUCUUGUUGUGACCCAUG